UUCUUCCUUUCUCCCCGAGAGAAAAACUCGCAGAAAAAAGAAACUCCGACCCAGAAAAAUCUUUUACUUUUUCUUCUUCCUUUCUUCUGUCAAUAUCUGAUUAUUCUUCUAAUGAUGAACUUAAAACCUAUAAUAUUAAAUUUGUGAAGGAAAAGAUGUAGUUUUGUUGGAAGUUCGUGGGGAUGAGUUUUUUUAAUUUUCCCGAAGGUCUCCCUCGGUGAAAGCUGAGAAGAUGAAAAUUAAGGAGAUAACUGAAAUUCAAAACACACCAAGCAUCUAAAAUUCCACACACCAAUGAAGUUUGCACUGCGACGGAGCCGCACACAGAGUCAAAUAUAAGGAGACGGGCAGAAGUCUAGAACAUAAUGCGGUCCUCCUUUUGGGAUGAUCAACAUGUCAUUCUGGGGAGAAUAAAUCAACGAUCAACUUAUGGAGCAAGAGAAAGUCUUCCGCAACCUCACAUCUUUACGAAGUUACAAAACAGUUCAAAGUUCUUAUCUUUGUCAGUGCUAAGCACAUCCAUUAGCCACUGUUUGAGGCUUGCAGAAUGAGCAACUUACAGAGUCGAAAGGCACAGACCACAUUCACAAUGGAUGAAGCAGACACAUUUGCAGUACUGACCAAGUAUGGCAUUCAUUGCACAAGGCACAGGUCAACAUCGGUAGAUAAAUUUAAAGAAGACACCGAAAAGAUGGGAGACGCAAAAAUUGUUAAGGGACUUCGCUGGUAAAGCCCUAUGAUAAUUUGGUUUGGUUCAAGCUGUGGUUCUUCAUCUUCUACAUUUAUCCUAUUCCAGAGUUUGAAGAAUUUCGCCGAGAUGAUCGGUUCAGUUCUGCAAUCAUACAUGCCAUAAAUGGUGGUGAACGAGAAACACCAAAUUUGACUAAGCUUAGUUCUAAAUGAACUACUGAGCUUCACCCUGAAGCUUCUUAUGAUGAAUCCAAAGCCACUACUGUGCCACCUGCUAGUGUUAUGACUAGGGUCAUUUUGAUCAUGGUAUAGCGAAAACUCAUCAGAAAUCCCAAGACUUACUUGACUCUCAUUGGUCUCAGCUGGUCUCUAGUAUCAUUCCGGUUCUUCAUCAUCUUGGUCAAGAUGAGAAUUCGGCCUCGUCGUAUGAUCAUCCUCUCAAAGCCAGAAUAAUUUGCUGCAUUCUGAUCACUCACUGUAAGAGAUUGUAACAUUCUGUUUCUAUAUGCAAUCCUUAGAAGCUAAAACAAACAUAGUUGCCCCAACACAAUGUAAGAAACAAGAACAUAUUUACAUAUGCAAUCUUUCAACUGUAAGAUUCGACUCUUGAUUUUCUUAAUGCAACCUGUAACAUGUCUUUGAUGUCAUGAGUUC